CAGUCGAACGGCAGCACGGGAGCAAUCCUNGUGGCGAGUGGCGAACGGGUGAGUAAUAUAUCGGAACGUGCCCAGUCGUGGGGGAUAACGCAGCGAAAGCUGUGCUAAUACCGCAUACGAUCUCUGGAUGAAAGCGGGGGACCGCAAGGCCUCGCGCGAUUGGAGCGGCCGAUAUCAGAUUAGCUAGUUGGUGGGGUAAAAGCCCACCAAGGCGACGAUCUGUAGCUGGUCUGAGAGGACGACCAGCCACACUGGAACUGAGACACGGUCCAGACUCCUACGGGAGGCAGCAGUGGGGAAUUUUGGACAAUGGGCGCAAGCCUGAUCCAGCAAUGCCGCGUGCAGGAUGAAGGCCUUCGGGUUGUAAACUGCUUUUGUACGGAACGAAACGGCUCUUUCUAAUAAAGGGGGCUAAUGACGGUGCCGUAAGAAUAAGCACCGGCUAACUACGUGCCAGCAGCCGCG
rnacentral:rRNA from 1 species